GUACGGGAGGCAGCAGUGGGGAAUAUUGCGCAAUGGGCGAAAGCCUGACGCAGCCAUGCCGCGUGUGUGAAGAAGGCCUUAGGGUUGUAAAGCACUUUCAAUUGGGAAGAAAGGUUGCGUGUUAAUAGCACGUAGCUGUGACGUUACCUUUAGAAGAAGCACCGGCUAACUCCGUGCCAGCAGCCGCGGUAAUACGGAGGGUGCAAGCGUUAAUCGGAAUUACUGGGCGUAAAGCGCGCGUAGGCGGUUUGUUAAGUCGGAUGUGAAAGCCCCGGGCUCAACCUGGGAAUUGCAUUCGAUACUGGCCGACUAGAGUACGAGAGAGGGAGGUAGAAUUCCACGUGUAGCGGUGAAAUGCGUAGAUAUGUGGAGGAAUACCGGUGGCGAAGGCGGCCUCCUGGCUCGAUACUGACGCUGAGGUGCGAAAGCGUGGGUAGCAAACAGGAUUAGAUACCCCGGUAGG
rnacentral:rRNA from 1 species